UACGUAGGGGGCAAGCGUUGUCCGGAAUCAUUGGGCGUAAAGAGCGCGUAGGCGGUCCGAUAAGUCCGGUGUGAAAGUCACAGGCUCAACCUGUGAAUGCCGCUGGAAACUGUCUGGCUAGAGUCCGGAAGGGGCGAGUGGAAUUCCUGGUGUAGCGGUGAAAUGCGCAGAUAUCAGGAGGAACACCAAUGGCGAAGGCAGCUCGCUGGGACGGUACUGACGCUGAGGCGCGAAAGCGUGGGGAGCAAACAGG
rnacentral:rRNA from 1 species